CCUACGGGGGGCUGCAGUAGGGAAUAUUGGUCAAUGGAUGCAAGUCUGAACCAGCCAUGCCGCGUGCAGGAAGAAGGCCCUAUGGGUUGUAAACUGCUUUUGCCAGGGGAUAAAAUAUCCUUGCGAGGAUAAUUGAAGGUACCUGGUGAAUAAGCCACGGCUAACUACGUGCCAGCAGCCGCGGUAAUACGUAGGUGGCAAGCGUUGUCCGGAUUUAUUGGGUUUAAAGGGUGCGUAGGCGGCCUUAUAAGUCAGUGCUGAAAUAUCCCGGCUUA
rnacentral:rRNA from 1 species